rnacentral:rRNA from 1 species
UACGUAGGGGGCAAGCGUUGUCCGGAAUUAUUGGGCGUAAAGCGCGCGCAGGCGGCUUUGUAAGUUUGGUGUUUAAGCUCGGAGCUCAACUCCGAUACGCAUCGAAAACUGCAAGGCUUGAGUGCAGAAGAGGAAAGUGGAAUUCCACGUGUAGCGGUGAAAUGCGUAGAGAUGUGGAGGAACACCAGUGGCGAAGGCGACUUCUGGGCUGUAACUGACGCUGAGGCGCGAAAGCGUGGGGAGCAAACAGG